UAAGAAGCCCUGCAACCCUGAGUUCAGGGCUCCAUCGCUGGGGUGCAUUAGAGUGCCUGCUGGAGCUUGAAAAAAGACCCUCCUGUGUUUGCAUCGGAAUUGGUUCCUUGGUGUUCUUUGGGGUCUCGCGACCCGGGCAUAACACACUCUUUCUGCCUGGCUGCUCCUUUGAAGCUAAGAUGCCUCAUACAAACUUGGCAGUGUAGCCAGAGACUCUGAAUCUCAAGUGCACAAAGACUGUCUCUCAGAACUCUGAUGGUUGCCUGAAUUCUACUUCUAUUGAUGUUCCAAAAAGCCCUAAAAUUUCAGCAAGAACAGAAGGUUCUAGAAGAUGUGUGGAAUGGAUUGAUAUAGAGUUCUACAUUGUUUCUGGACAUUGUUCCCACGAGUAUUUCCAAAUAAAUUUACUGUAUACAAAUCUCUAAGCAUCUGUUUCCUGAGAAACUCAUACCAAGACAGUUGGUAUCUGGAGUGAUUUGAAGAAACAAGUUACAAUAUGGGAUUUUGCAGCAAGUUGACAAUGAGGACACAUGUGAUGGCAUGUGGAAUGUGGAUAACUCCAGAUUUCAAGGUGACAUUUUGCCCUGUGACCUUUUCUCUUAUGGCUUAGAGAAAGUCAAUGACUUUGUUCAUCAUUUAUUUGUUGUGAAGAUAAGACUGAUGACUAUUAAACAUUCUACACUUUGGAGCUGAAACCAGAAGUCUUUUCAUACCCUUUUAAUAACACUCUAGUUAAGAGCUGAAGUGCUGCUUCAAAUAAAUAAAAAGGAAGGUAACAUUUACAAGGGGAAGGAAAUAUUUCCUGCUCUUCUAGAAGGACUUCAUUCUCAGCAUCUAAAUAACAAAAUGAAAUUUAUUUGAUUUACUUUGCAGCUCUGGGAACCUGAAAUCAUCCUCCAAGUUCUUAGGAAUAUGGCUUUUGACAGCUUUGUUUUUUAGUUAAUAUUUUUCACUGUUGAAAG